rnacentral:rRNA from 1 species
AUUGAACGCUGGCGGCAGGCUUAACACAUGCAAGUCGAGCGGGGGAAGGUAGCUUGCUACCGGACCUAGCGGCGGACGGGUGAGUAAUGCUUAGGAAUCUGCCUAUUAGUGGGGGACAACAUCUCGAAAGGGAUGCUAAUACCGCAUACGUCCUACGGGAGAAAGCAGGGGAUCUUCGGACCUUGCGCUCAUAGAUGAGCCUAAGUCGGAUUAGCUAGUUGGUGGGGUAAAGGCCUACCAAGGCGACGAUCUGUAGCGGGGCUGAGAGGAUGAUCCGCCACACUGGGACUGAGACACGGCCCAGACUCCUACGGGAGGCAGCAGUGGGGAAUAUUGGACAAUGGGGGGAACCCUGAUCCAGCUAUGCCGCGUGUGUGAAGAAGGCCUUAUGGUUGUAAAGCACUUUAAGCGAGGAGGAGGCUACUCUAGUUAAUACCUAGGGAUAGUGGACGUUACUCGCAGAAUAAGCACCGGCUAACCCUGUGCCAGCCGCCGCAGUAA